rnacentral:rRNA from 1 species
GGGUUAGCAGGUCGGUCGUGCCAAUGGUAUGCACUGGCUCGCUGACUCCUCCUUCUUGUAGAACCGUAAUGCCAUUAAUUUGGUGUUGCGGGGAAACAGGACUGUUACUUUGAAAAAAUUAGAGUGUUUAAAGCAGGCUCGCGCUUGAAUACAUUAGCAUGGAAUAAUGAAAUAGGACGUUGAUCCUAUUUUGUUGGUUUCUAGGAUUGACGUAAUGAUUAAUAGGG